rnacentral:rRNA from 1 species
GCCUACGGGGGGCAGCAGUGGGGAAUAUUGGGCAAUGGGCGCAAGCCUGACCCAGCAACGCCGCGUGAAGGAAGAAGGCUUUCGGGUUGUAAACUUCUUUUCUCAGGGACGAAGCAAGUGACGGUACCUGAGGAAUAAGCCACGGCUAACUACGUGCCAGCAGCCGCGGUAAUACGUAGGUGGCAAGCGUUAUCCGGAUUUACUGGGUGUAAAGGGCGUGUAGGCGGGAAAGCAAGUCAGAUGUGAAAUCCGGAGGCUCAACCUCCGAAUUGCAUUUGAAACUGUUUUUCUUGAGUACUGGAGAG